ACCAAGGAGUCUAACAUGUGCGCGAGCCGCGGGGCAGUACGAAACCCGUAAGGCGAAAUGAAGGUGAACGCCGGCGCGGUCCCCGGCGGAGGUUGGAUCCCGUCCCGUCGGGGCGGGCGCACUACCGGCCGAUCUUCUCCGCCCUGUCGGCGAGGUCGAGCGAGAGCGUGCAAGUCGGGACCCGAAAGAUGGUGAACUAUGCCUGAGGAGGUUGAAGCCAGAGGAAACUCUGGUGGAGGACCGUAGCGAUUCUGACGUGCAAAUCGAUCGUCAAAUUUGGGUAUAGGGGCGAAAGACUAAUCGAACCGUCUAGUAGCUGGUUCCCUUCGAAGUUUCCCUCAGGAUAGCUGGCGCUCUGUCGCAGUUUUAUCUGGUAAAGCGAAUGAUUAGAGGUCUUGGGGGCGAAACGCCCUCAACCUAUUCUCAAACUUUAAAUUGGUAAGAAGCCCGACUCGCUCGUUUGGAGCCGGGCAUGGAAUGCGAGUGCCAAGUGGGCCACUCUUGGUAAGCAGGACUGGCGAUGCGGGAUGAACCGAACGCCGGGUUAAGGCGCCCGACGCGACGCUCAUCAGAGCCCACAAAAGGUGUUGGUUGAUAUAGACAGCAGGACGGUGGCCAUGGAAGUCGGAAACCGCUAAGGAGUGUGUAACAACUCACCUGCCGAAUCAAUCAGCCCUGAAAAUGGAUGGCGCUGGAGCGUCGGGCCUAUACCCGGCCGUCGCGGCGGUA
rnacentral:ncRNA from 1 species